UACGAGGGGGGCUAGUGUUGUUCGGAAUCACUGGGCGUAAAGGGAGCGUAGGCGGGCGUUUAAGUUAGGUGUUUAAUCCCGGGGCCCAACCCCGGACCGGCACCUAAAACUGGACCGUCUUGAAUAGUGGAGAGGUCGGUGGAAUUGGAGGUGUAGCGGUGGAAUGCGUAGAGAUCUCCAAGAACACCCGUUGCGAAGGCGGCCGACUGGACACAUAUUGACGCUGAGGCUCGAAAGCGUGGGAGCAAACAGG
rnacentral:rRNA from 1 species